rnacentral:rRNA from 1 species
UACGGAGGGUGCGAGCGUUGUCCGGAAUCACUGGGCGUAAAGGGCGCGUAGGCGGCCUGAUAAGUAGGGGGUGAAAUCCUGCGGCUUAACCGCAGGGCUGCCUUCUAAACUGUCAGGCUAGAGCACAGUAGAGGCAGGUGGAAUUCCCGGUGUAGCGGUGGAAUGCGUAGAGAUCGGGAAGAACAUCAGUGGCGAAGGCGGCCUGCUGGGCUGUUGCUGACGCUGAGGCACGAAAGCGUGGGGAGCAAACAGG